rnacentral:rRNA from 1 species
AACGAACGCUGGCGGCAUGCCUAACACAUGCAAGUCGAACGAGACCUUCGGGUCUAGUGGCGCACGGGUGCGUAACGCGUGGGAACCUGCCCUUAGGCUCGGAAUAACUCCCCGACAGGGGUGCUAAUACCGGAUAAUGUCUUCGGACCAAGGAUUUAUCGCCUUUGGAUGGGCCCGCGUUGGUUUAGCGAGGUGGUAGGGUAAAAGCCUACCAAGGCGACGAUCCAUAGCUGGUCUGAGAGGAUGAUCAGCCACACUGGGACUGAGACACGGCCCAGACUCCUACGGGAGGCAGCAGUGGGGAAUAUGGGACAAUGGGCGAAAGACUGAUCCAGCAAGGCCGCGUGAGUGAUGAAGGCCUUAGGGUUGUAAAGCUCUUUUACCCGGGAUGAUAAUGACAGUACCGGGAGAAUAAGCGCCGGCUAACUCCGU